rnacentral:rRNA from 1 species
AACGAGCGCUGGCGGCAUGCCUAACACAUGCAAGUCGAACGAGACCUUCGGGUCUAGUGGCGCACGGGUGCGUAACGCGUGGGAACCUGCCCUUAGGUUCGGAAUAACUCCACGAAAGGGGUGCUAAUACCGGAUAAUGUCUUCAGACCAAAGAUUUAUCGCCUUUGGUUGGUACCACGAUGGAUUAGCUAGUUAGUAGGGUAAUAGCCUACAAAGGCGUCGAUCCAUAUCUGGUCUGAGAGGAUGAUCAGCCACACUGGGACUGAGACACGGCCCAGACUCCUACGUGAGGCAGCAGUGGGGAAUGUUGGACAACCGGCGAAAGCCUAAUCCGACAAUGCCGCGUGAGUGAUGAAGGCCUUAAGGUUGUAAAGCUCAUUUACCCAGGAUGAUAAUGACAGUACCGGGAGAAUAAGCACCGGCUAACUCCGUG